GAUGAACGCUGGCGGCGUGCCUAAUACAUGCAAGUCGAACGCAUUGUGGUUGAAAUGAUAUGAAGAACUUGUUCAGAUUUGAUUUUCAACAUUGCAAUGAGUGGCGAACGGGUGAGUAACACGUGGGAAACCUACCUCUUAGCAGGGGAUAACGUUUGGAAACAAAUGCUAAUACCGUAUAAUAAUUAAAACCGCAUGGUUUUAGUUUAAAAGAUGGUCUUGCUAUCACUAAGAGAUGGUCCCGCGGUGUAUUAGUUAGUUGGUGAGGUAAUGGCUCACCAAGACAAUGAUACAUAGCCGAGUUGAGAGACUGACCGGCCACAAUGGGACUGAGACACGGCCCAUACUCCUACGGGAGGCAGCAGUAGGGAAUCUUCCACAAUGGACGAAAGUCUGAUGGAGCAACGCCGCGUGUGUGAUGAAGGGUUUCGGCUCGUAAAACACUGUUGUAAGAGAAGAAUGACAUUGAGAGUAACUGUUCAAUGUGUGACGGUAUCUUACCAGAAAGGAACGGCUAAAUACGUGCCAGCAGCCGCGGUAAUACGUAUGUUCCAAGCGUUAUCCGGAUUUAUUGGGCGUAAAGCGAGCGCAGACGGUUAUUUAAGUCUGAAGUGAAAGCCCUCGGCUCAACCGAGGAAUUGCUUUGGAAACUGGAUAACUUGAGUGCAGUAGAGGAAAGUGGAACUCCAUGUGUAGCGGUGAAAUGCGUAGAUAUAUGGAAGAACACCAGUGGC
rnacentral:rRNA from 1 species